GUGACAGGAUACAUUCUUUGCCUCAUACGCGCUGCAGGGCCAUGAGUGCCAGAGACUUCGGGGGGAAGAAAGGCUAUUUGAGUCGCAUCAAAGACAACCACCACCAAAGCACAAUUGAAGCCUGCAACCGUAGCCAGCCUGAAAGCCGGCUUUGCGCAGGCCACUUUGUUCUCUGAUCGGCCCCUUGGCUUUGUGAACUCCCUUCCAGCAUCAGCUGGGCGCGGCGUGUUGGGAGUUGUGGUGUCUUCUCGGAGGGAAUCCGGUAGCAGGUGACAUGAGCUCGGGGUGGAGAAGGGGGCUCUCUUCUUAGGCUCCCCACUCCAUAACACACAGUCCUGCAUGGCUGCUUGGCCUGUCCCCUCAUGCAAGUAUGGGGUAAACCAUUGCCUUUCACCUGCAGCACCCCCUGGUUUCACGAGGGAGAAGUGGCUGUUCACACCCGCUGGCCUUAUGUCACCUUUGACAUUGCUGGGUGUCACUCAGCUGAGCUCAGGUCUUGCACAACAGCAGGUUUGCUAGCACAGCAGCUGUCAGCUUAAUGCAAAGAUGUAACAGAGGCUCCAUCUAAGCUCCAGUAAAAAGCAUUCCUCUUCCCAUCCUCAUGGAAAAUGAAUUGCAACCCCCUGCCAUUUGCCAGGGCUUUCAGGGAGAUUAAAGGAGGCGUGAGCCUGAGGACCAUCUUGCUGUAACUCCCUCGGCUCCAUGGACUGGUUAUCAGGGACCACUUGUGUUUCUUGUCCUAAAGCCCAUCAGCUCCCCUAACUCCAUCCAUUCUGCCUGGCCUGUGAAUGUUCUUGUAUGAAAACCAGCAUCCCAGACAUCCAUGUCUGUCCUUCAUGUCCAUGAUGUGGCUUCCAAGACUGGCGUUCUACAGAACCAGCAAGGGCUAAAUACAGCCCGACAGCCAGACUCCCCCAAAAUUCAGAGGGGUUUCAAAGUGUGUUGCUAAUGAGGAUGGGGGGUUCACAUACUACCUGCUCUUCCCCGCUGCUUGACAAGUGAAAUAAUAGCUCAACAUAUUGUGCUGGACCAAUGGCUUUCUUCCUGCAGCCCUGCUGAUGGAACUGGUGGCAUGUGAAAUAUUUGACAAGCGUGAUGCUGCAGCUUGGGUAUCUUUUGCAGCAUUUCUUGCUUGGUUUUCAGAAAGAAGAGAAGACUCUUGGUAGCCUCCCUAUAACUGGCACCCUGACUCCCUCAAAACACUUCACAGAACCUGGGGCACAGAUUAUGGCAAUACAGAGCAAAGUCUAUAUGGCACUGGGAAAUAAGAACCUCUCAAGGGGGAACUGGGGAACAUGUGGCAUCAUGGCAUCCCUGGAGAGCUCUCCACUAUCUUCUGGGGAAUCCCAGAGAGAAGUCCCUACCUUGUGUAUGGUGAAUGUUGCUCUUGGUAUCUUACCUGGCUCACAACACAGUGCUGCCUGUGACUUGUCCCUUCCUCAGGCCCAUCUCAUGUCCAAGCUUCACCUGUCUUGCACAGAGUUGUUUCAGUUGUCAGCCCGUAGGUAAGAACAGCACAUCACCCACAUGUUCUCCUUAAUGAUGGGCUCUCCUUGGGGCCUCCCCAUCAAAACCUACCUGAACCUUGGGGAGAAGUGUAUGCUGAGCCAGACACCCACCUGCAAUUUUGUAGCCUGACCUCUCUCUCGUUCUACUCCUAUGUGAGACCCUUCUCCUGAAUGCCGGUGUUUGCUUAGUACUUACAAAGAGAGGUUAGUCAUCAAAGGCAACAGGAACCUUCAGGACCACGCAGUGCUCUGGGAGAUGAAGCUGCUAAUUUAGGGCACCAUGUGUGAGUGUAGAAGCUUAACUUCAAAAACCUGUUUGUUGUAGCACCUGAGCCGCAAUAUUUUUUUUCUUUCCAGAUAACCACCAGCAGAUUGGCUGAAGUCUGGUUUAUGGUGGGAGAGAGUGAUAAGCCUCACAGGAAGCAUAUGAAGCAUGGACAGUAGGACCAAACAAACCAUUAUGUAGACUUGGGGCCUUCCUUGUUACAAAAAGCUUGGACAGGAACCUGGUGGAAGUGAGACAGGGAGGUUUGCUUGAAAGAGUCUGAAACAGUAGCUGAGAAAGAGUCACCUGCCCCACUCAGCUCGAUGGGGUGCUACCCUCAGACCUGCUGCUUUGGAGGCCUCAUCAGCACUGCACAACAGAGGACACUGGGUAUGGCCGGAAAAGAGCAGUGCCCACAGACCUGAGCAGGAGACUCCUUCUGCUGGGGUUCCAGCAGAGGAUGUUUGGCCGGAUUAGCCUGGCAAAGCCUCCCCCCUUAAUUUAGGAGAGACAGCGGCACCUCAGAGAGAAGACACCACACAGAUGAAAGACAGGACGCGUCCCGGGGGAAGGACUGUCUCUCCUCAACCUUGCCACUACUUCCCAGUGUCUGUACACAUGCCAGGAGCCCUGGAUCCCCCACGGCAGUUCCUGCACCAGACAGGACAGGGGCCCUACAAGCAAAAGCCUCCUGUGCCACACCCAGCCUGGAUUCAUCCCCUGAGCAUGGCGGUCCUGUGCACUGAAUGAGGCAUAGGAAGAAAGUGUGCAUGCUCAUCUAAGUAAAAACUAUCGCACCACGUUACCAUGGACAACUGUGGGUCUGGCAGUCACUCAGUUGCUUGCCUAGAUAAUGUUGUUUCAACACAAUGGGUGGAAGUGCCCACACACAACAUCCAUGUGACAUCAGAAAGGUUAUGUGCUGCUCUGGCAUGGAUUUAAAAAUAAAAUCAGGGCUAACUACUAC